rnacentral:rRNA from 1 species
AGAGUUUGAUCAUGGCUCAGAUUGAACGCUGGCGGCAGGCCUAACACAUGCAAGUCGAGCGGUAGCACAGAGAGCUUGCUCUCGGGUGACGAGCGGCGGACGGGUGAGUAAUGUCUGGGAAACUGCCUGAUGGAGGGGGAUAACUACUGGAAACGGUAGCUAAUACCGCAUGACGUCGCAAGACCAAAGUGGGGGACCUUCGGGCCUCAUGCCAUCAGAUGUGCCCAGAUGGGAUUAGCUGGUAGGUGGGGUAACGGCUCACCUAGGCGACGAUCCCUAGCUGGUCUGAGAGGAUGACCAGCCACACUGGAACUGAGACACGGUCCAGACUCCUACGGGAGGCAGCAGUGGGGAAUAUUGCACAAUGGGCGCAAGCCUGAUGCAGCCAUGCCGCGUGUGUGAAGAAGGCCUUCGGGUUGUAAAGCACUUUCAGCGGGGAGGAAGGCGGUGAGGUUAAUAACCUCAUCGAUUGACGUUACCCGCAGAAGAAGCACCGGCUAACUCCGUGCCAGCAGCCGCGGUAAUACGGAGGGUGCAAGCGUUAAUCGGAAUUACUGGGCGUAAAGCGCACGCAGGCGGUCUGUCAAGUCGGAUGUGAAAUCCCCGGGCUCAACCUGGGAACUGCAUUCGAAACUGGCAGGCUAGAGUCUUGUAGAGGGGGGUAGAAUUCCAGGUGUAGCGGUGAAAUGCGUAGAGAUCUGGAGGAAUACCGGUGGCGAAGGCGGCCCCCUGGACAAAGACUGACGCUCAGGUGCGAAAGCGUGGGGAGCAAACAGGAUUAGAUACCCUGGUAGUCCACGCUGUAAACGAUGUCGAUUUGGAGGUUGUGCCCUUGAGGCGUGGCUUCCGGAGCUAACGCGUUAAAUCGACCGCCUGGGGAGUACGGCCGCAAGGUUAAAACUCAAAUGAAUUGACGGGGGCCCGCACAAGCGGUGGAGCAUGUGGUUUAAUUCGAUGCAACGCGAAGAACCUUACCUGGUCUUGACAUCCACAGAACUUUCCAGAGAUGGAUUGGUGCCUUCGGGAACUGUGAGACAGGUGCUGCAUGGCUGUCGUCAGCUCGUGUUGUGAAAUGUUGGGUUAAGUCCCGCAACGAGCGCAACCCUUAUCCUUUGUUGCCAGCGGUUAGGCCGGGAACUCAAAGGAGACUGCCAGUGAUAAACUGGAGGAAGGUGGGGAUGACGUCAAGUCAUCAUGGCCCUUACGACCAGGGCUACACACGUGCUACAAUGGCAUAUACAAAGAGAAGCGACCUCGCGAGAGCAAGCGGACCUCAUAAAGUAUGUCGUAGUCCGGAUUGGAGUCUGCAACUCGACUCCAUGAAGUCGGAAUCGCUAGUAAUCGUAGAUCAGAAUGCUACGGUGAAUACGUUCCCGGGCCUUGUACACACCGCCCGUCACACCAUGGGAGUGGGUUGCAAAAGAAGUAGGUAGCUUAACCUUCGGGAGGGCGCUUACCACUUUGUGAUUCAUGACUGGGGUGAAGUCGUAACAAGGUAACCGUAGGGGAACCUGCGGUUGGAUCACCU